UGUGAUUAUUUCUUUCAUUGUCUUUUGAAUACAACAUACUUAACAUUUUCUCUUUUUGAUGUCUUGCAGUGUAGAAACUUCGCUGUGUUAGUAGAUCUUCAUAUUUUGCCUCAAGGUUCAAGAAAAUCACCAGCUGGUUUUCAGAAUAGAAAAAAAGGAUAUAGGCUUCGCAUAACAGCUUAUUUCAUCAAAAGAGAGAUUCACCUUCAUUGUAUUGUGGGGAAGCCGAGUUAUGGUACCAGGAAGAUCAUAAUACCAAGUGGAUUGUGAAAGUGGAGGGAGAAGCCAAAAUGGCAGAAGAGUGGAAAGAAUAAAAAAAGACAUUUCUUCA
rnacentral:lncRNA from 1 species